UAAUCAAAAAAUUGAAUCCCCUGUAUAAUCUUGGAGAUAUGGUCCAUAAGUUUCUACCAGACCACCGUAAACGGUCUGACUACGGGAGUGCAUGCUGAUUCU
rnacentral:ncRNA from 2 species